AUUCUUGUCUCGCUCCUAUGUGUGCCUUGACUGUGUUCCCCCUGGCUCAGUGCCUACUACACGUCAACUUUAACAAUAUGCUAAUGGAAGUUAGCAACAUUUUUGGAAAUGGCGUGCCACCAAGAAUUGGCUCUACACCUAGCAUACCAUAUGCCGUACCAAGCUCUAGGUCUGGUCCUCAUGCAUCAGGGAGAUUAGAUCCAAACUGUUCUUUCAAGCCUACACUGGUAGUCCUAAUAGGAGACCCUGAUACGUGUCUGCCAUAGUUAGCUCUAAUUACUCAGUGGUUUUUACCCUUGGUGCCACCUACAGUUUUAGGCGCCAGCUUAGGUAACCAUAUAUAUGUUUAUUCUACUAGAAUUUAAUGUUUGAAACCUGUAUAACAACCCACAUUUAAAGUGCAGUGUAAGAUGGUGCCUGAAUUGCCUUGGAAUCCCUUAUAACUAGACCAACACAUCACUGCUAACACUAAU